GACGAACGCUGGCGGCGUGCUUAACACAUGCAAGUCGAACGGAAAGGCCCUGCUUGCAGGGUACUCGAGUGGCGAACGGGUGAGUAACACGUGGGUGAUCUGCCCUGCACUUCGGGAUAAGCCUGGGAAACUGGGUCUAAUACCGGAUAUGACCUUCCAUGUAGUGUGGGGGGUGGAAAGAUUUAUCGGUGUGGGAUGAGCCCGCGGCCUAUCAGCUUGUUGGUGGGGUAAUGGCCUACCAAGGCGUCGACGGGUAGCCGGCCUGAGAGGGUGGACGGCCACAUUGGGACUGAGAUACGGCCCAGGCUCCUACGGGAGGCAGCAGUGGGGAAUAUUGCACAAUGGGCGGAAGCCUUAUGCAGCGACGCCGCGUGGGGGAUGACGGCCUUCGGGUUGUAAACCUCUUUCGACAGGGACGAAGCUUCGGUGACGGUACCUGUAUAAGAAGCACCGGCUAACUACGUG
rnacentral:rRNA from 1 species